ACAGCUGAGAGGGGGAACAGCUGGGGCCGAUCAGCUGAUUGGAGGGAUGUCACCUUUUCCCGUCUGACAUGAGGGAGGCUGAUUAGCAGGGGAGACAGCCGCACUUGCAACGACGAAUAAUCUUGCAUUUAUCUGUUAAUCGGGCUUUCGGCUGCUUAAUUUUUCGUCCCGGUUUUCUUAGAGGGUGGUUCUUGUUGCGACUGGUCCUGCUGUGUGCAGCUGUCAAGGUUAGGUUCAUAACAUAGAUGUUCAGUGGUUUUGCAGCAGGAACACUAAAGUCCAAGGCUUUACCAAGGACAUGGUCAGUGACUUGGAGUGUAGAGUACAGAAAACUGUGGAAAAGUAUCCAACAGUAUCCAGAUCGACUCCUUUCUGUGCCAUUUCUCCUCUCAGACACAAAGACUGAGUGAGUUUCACUUCCUCAGAAAGCAGUUAGACUCUGAUCCUCCAAUCAGCUUCUCUCUUUCUGUUGGUUACGCCCAUCAUGACUCAGCAGUUCUGAAGCAAACAUGUGGACAAACCGGAGCUGCAGAUCAGGAAGAGGAGAACUUAAUGUGGCAGGUAGGACACGCCUACUAAUCAGGAGGACUCGCUCACUGAUUGGGUGAUCACGCUUUAAAAAGCUCUCCUGCUUCGCUUUUUUAAUUAUGACCUCUUUCGGCUGCCAUACCAGGUCACCAGGAAGUGAGCGCGAGUAGCAGGCAGGUAAGCGAGCCAGGUGUUGCGGGUGUCAGAAAACAAGCAGGUCGUCGGCAUUAAUGAAACUUAUUUGCAGUUUCCUGGACACGGAUAGUCGGCCAAUCAUUCGGCGUAUCUGCAAUGUGCUCCAGUAGCCGUACGAAUAUCGCAUAGACUCGCUCCUUCUCAGCAACCGAAAGUGUUCUGCUGCAUGAUCCCUUCCCUCCCCGCAAACAGGGGAGUAAAGCUGCUGCUUUGCCUUGUGUGUUUUUGUGCCUGAGCUCGAGCGCGCCCGCCCCCUUCCACGCCGCGGUAGAAGAGAGACACACGCCCGCUGCACGGAGGAUACCUCAACGUGGAAGCCGUCUCGUGGGACUGGACAGUUUCUUCUCUCCCCACCAUCACCUUGCGUCCGACUGGCGGUCGGGUGGUUGGCCCGGCACGCCCGGUGUUCAUUUUUAUUUUAUUUUAACUGAUUUUAUUGUGAUUUUUAUUCUUGUUUUUGUUUCUGUUUCAGGAGGUGGGACCCCGAGGUGGUGGACUGCUGUCUGGUGGUGGGUCCCGUGUGUUGUGUCCUUUCACGUUUGCAGUGAAUCUCCACUUCCGGUGUUUUAGUGUUGUUUUUUAUUGCAGCUCCAGCCACCUCGGUGAGCUCCCCCUCUGUGUUUUGUUUUUAUGUGGAAGUUAUUUUCACAUUUUAUAUAGCUCUUAAUAAAUUACAUUUUUAAUAUUUUACCCAGCCUCUGCCUCGGUUUAAAGUAAGAAUUUUACGUGUCCUUUAAUUGAAUUUCCUGGGGCCGAACAGCCCCAGGUGGCGUUGUUGCAACACACCAUACCCGAGUUGCCACAAAGUGGCGUUGUUGGCAGGAUCCUUUAACAUACAGGCAGAGGCUGCUUUAUUUUAUUUUUUUUUUUCUCUUUUUUGUCAUUUGAAUGUUUUAAAGCACCAUUUUUGUGUUUUUUUUAUUAUUGAGGCAAAGCAGCAGCAUUUUUUUUUUGAGUCCUCAGGGUCCACCCUCUUGUUUUAAUAGGUACAGAAAAUGGAGGAAGAACUCAAGAGAGUUGAGGAGUCUCGUAGCCCAGCUAAAGGCCGACAAUGACAGGCUGCGUCAGGAACAGGUCCUACCAGAGCCUAGGGCAGGCCCGAGUGUUGAGGUGGCUAUGGACUCUCCUCUUGUAGCUUCAGGACCCUUAACUGAGAGGCUCAACAGCCCCAGGUGGCGUUGUUGCAACACACCAUACCCGAGUUGCCACAUUAAGGCAACUUAAAAAUGUUUUUCAAAAAAAUGUUUUUCCAGUUACAUCCAAAGGUGGAGCUACAGGUAUGUGUGGGUGUCUGCACAUACCCAGCUCCCCCAUCAAAACCAUUGACCAACACUUGUCCCCAAUUUUGAGUCAAUCUUUCUCUCAUUACUGACAAAGAUGAAGAAAUCAUCAGUACAAACUUCUUUAACCAAUGCAAAACCACAAAACCAACAAUCAAAGUCACUGAAGUAAAGACAAUAGUAUUAGGAAUCUGUGUCUUUGAUGUUCCACUCUGCUGCUCUCAUUUGGCCCCCUUCCUAAGUCUUCU